CAGUCGCCACGGGAAUGCGAAGGGGGCUAGCGUUGCUCGGAAUCACUGGGCGUAAAGGGUGCGUAGGCGGGUCUUUAAGUCAGGGGUGAAAUCCUGGAGCUCAACUCCAGAACUGCCUUCGAUACUGAAGAUCUUGAGUUCGGGAGAGGUGAGUGGAACUGCGAGUGUAGAGGUGAAAUUCGUAGAUAUUCGCAAGAACACCAGAGGCGAAGGCGGCUCACUGGCCCGAUACUGACGCUGAGGCACGAAAGCGUGGGGAGCAAACAGGAUUAGAUACCCGCGUAGUCCCUGUCUCUUAUAC
rnacentral:rRNA from 1 species